CGUAUCUUACCAGUUCCAUCGACGACGAGGUAAAAGAACGAGUUUUACUGACUACUUAUCAGCGUUAAAGCCGCUUCAUCGGAGAAAAUGUUCAGGCCAGUUUCGAUGAUUUUACUAGCUUCUCUAGUCAUCUCUUCUAAGGGAGACGUCCAUUGCCCCGUUUGCAGGCAAACGGUAUUCAAUAACUUUUGCACAAUCCACAGUUGCGGGCACGAAGUUUGCAUUAGGUGCCUCACUAAAAUUGUAUGUUCGGAAAAUCCUACGUGUCCCACGUGCUCAGUUCGUAUUGGCAAGGUGACGGGCACAAGUAAGUACGAAUCGGAGCUGGACAAUUUCAAACAAGCCGUCGUGAACAAGACGGUUACCGUCGAGAGGAUCAUUGCGCGCUACUAUCUCCUCCCGCCGUGGCAAUUUGCCGACGAAAUAAUGCUGGACGACAUUGGUGCAGUCGUAUACAAGUACGGUGCUGUGUCGCGGGACAAGAUUAUCCAGGGGAUAAGGAGCAACGUCAACGGUUAUACGUUCGUGGAGGACGUCAAGGAGCGGAGCAAUUUUUUUUGCUUCAAGUAUGAUAACAAUGAAAGAGAAUUAAAAAUAUUGCACCAGUUCUACGAUAGAUGGAGAUACGACGUCCAACAAGAGUAUCUGAUGCGAGAGUUCGUGUACGAGUGAGAGUCGGACGACUAGUCCGGUAACGUGGUACGACCGCGCGGUCGACACGAGCGAAUAGUCUUGUAUUUUAUCGGAAAUAAAAACUUAUCAUUCCGUUA